UGUUGCUUUAAAAGUUCUUCGAAAUGUCCAGCUUGUACUAUUCUCCCAUUUUGCAUCACCUGUUGAAAUUUGUCAGAUGCAGUCCAUGAACCACAAUCGAUAGCUUUGCAAAUUAUUCAAAAUUUAGAACUGCAAAGGAUCUCUUUUUUCAAACAGUCGAAACUAUAAUGUCCUAUUCUUUCAUCUUUAAAUGACUAAAGAAUGGAAUGAGAAAUUUACCAGAAUAAGGUCUGCUGCUGGAAGAAACUCUACUUGGUGGGUAACAAAAAUUAUAGUCUUUUCUUUGAGAAUCCCCAUGAGGCAUUCCUGCAGAAUGUAUAUGAAUUAAUAACCAAAUACUAAAUUCAAUUGCAUUGUUGCUUCAAACUAGGAGAUUUGAUUAGCUGUAUAGUUACAGGGCAAAAUCAGCUGGCAUUGUCAUACGACAGCUGCUAACAUGGUCUACUAACCUCAAAGAUUUGGGUGCCUGUAUGAGCAUCAACGGCACUGAAAGGGUCAUCAAGUAGAUAUAUAUCAGCAUCCUGGUAAACUGCACGAGCAAUCUGUAUCCUUUGCUUCUGUCCUCCACUCAUAUUUAUCCCCCUUUCUCCGAUCUCUGUUUGGUCACCACAGGAGAAAAGUUCAAAGUCCUUUUCCAAAGCGCAUGCUUUAACUGUUCUGUCAUACCUAGUACUGUCAUAUUGAUUCCCGAAGAGAAUAUUCUCCCUGACGUUUCCUGUCAGUAUCCAUGGAGAUUGAGGCACAUAAGCCUUGGUACCACUGAUCUUCACUGUCCCUGACAGCUUUAGUAUCUCUCCAAGAAUGCUUGAGAGCAGGCUAGACUUCCCCGAUCCCACAGUGCCGCAUAUUGCCACCUUCAUUCCCCUCUUCACAUUUAACUGUAUUCCUUCAAGAGUUGGGUUGCUCGACUCUGGAUCCCAGCUGAAUUUCCCACUGUCGACCUGGAUGCUAAACUCUGUUUGGUCUUUUGGAACAUACUCGAUGGCGUCAUUUUGAAUUUCUUCUUCCUGGAGGUAGGAAGUAAUUCUGUCCACGGAGACUUUUCCCUGUGCAACUACAUUGAGCAAGUCGGGCAAACUGAAUAUUGGGUCUUGUAGCAUUCGAAAGGUGGCCAAAGCAGCCAAGACUUUCCCAGCUGUGAGUUCAAUCCCCAGUAGGAUACAUGUUCCAAAAGUUAUUACAGAGAUAAAUGUGGGUGAUCCC